rnacentral:rRNA from 1 species
UACGAAGGGGGCUAGCGUUGUUCGGAAUUACUGGGCGUAAAGGGCGCGUAGGCGGCUCUGAUCGUCGGAUGUGAAAGGCCUGGGCUCAACCUGGGAAUGGCAUCCGAUACGGCGGGGCUGGAGUGUGGGAGAGGUUGGUGGAAUUCCUAGUGUAGAGGUGAAAUGCGUAGAUAUUGGAAGGAACACCAGUGGCGAAGGCGACUAUCUGGUCAGAUACUGACACUGAGACACGAAAGCAUGGGGAGCAAACAGG